ACUGCAUAUAUCAUCUGAAUAUGCAGAUUCAUCCAUCAUUGCGGACAUUGUUUAGAGCUGAACACAUGUGGGAGCUCUCCCACUUUUGGGCACUGAUGCAUGAAGCAAUGGAUUAUUUUUUUCCUUCAGGAAAUUUUACUACCAUUUAAGAGUUGGUUGUGGGGUUGAGUCUUCACCCAGUUGAUGUCUGAAAGUAGGUGCUUGGUAAUGGAAAAGUUGAAAAGCAUAUUAAUGUGGGAUGAGAUACUAGGUACAGCAAUAGAGGUGUUAGGAUAGUUGUGUUGUGUCCUCGUCCAACUGCUGCCUCUCAAGAUUGAUUUUGCAAAGUUGGUAUGAAAAAUUCUUUAUGUCAAAUCAUACCUGCCUAUUAUGUAUGCCCUGGUUCUUUUGACACCAGUCUAGAGCCUCUGUGAAUGGUUUUCUGCUUGUGGAAACCAACGGUUCUCAUUGCACAUGUAUUCCAUGGUUAUGUUUCCAAUAUUUUUAUGCACUGUUACACGGUUCUUUUUGCAAUACAUAUUUUCUGUGGAUGAACAAGUUGGGGAUUGGCACUUGUACAUCCUUUUCCAUUAUUA